rnacentral:lncRNA from 1 species
UAAGUUUCUAAUUAAAUCAUGGCUGCGCCUGGGCAGCGUUAUUGUGAGAGUGAAAGUGGACGUGCUGCUACUCCCCUCAUUCCCAACAUGUAUCAAGUACCUGCAUUGAGUAAUGCAAGAGUGAGAUGACACAUCUCAGCAAGUAAAAUAAUAUCAAACAGUUUAACCACAUAAGAACAUUGUUUUACCACCACUUGAUUCCACAACCUUCCUAUUACGAAGGUGCAACACGUAUACAACGUACAACGCACCUAGUUACCACACCUCGCAGGUAGAAACCACAAUAGUAACAUAGUAAUGUCACACUUCAUAUAUUCCUCAUGAGUGCAAAUGUCUGCAAAUGCAAGGAUGACUUCUGCCUUCAUACCUCUAAGGAUAUGAAGCCGCAUCGUACCCCUCCUCGGGCAACGUACGAUGCUAAAAAUGUACCGGUACGGUCGGACCAUAAGAUCACGACAUAACUUCAAAAUGCAAGAUGGAUGAUGCGAUGUGCAUGUCAUGCCUACAACACUUCAUAUAACAUGAUUCAAAAGACACUUCAACUUCAUCCAGAUGGGAAUCAACCACAUAUAUCAUUACCAAAUUAUGAUCAUCCACAAUAUUAGACAAUUGAGAAUUAAUACUUCCAAACAAAUAAACUUCAUCAUAGAAUUCAAUGAUUAACAUAAUUAAAACUUAUGCAUACUCAAUGACAGGGAAUAGGAUGCAAACCAAACGGUAGCAACCACCACUGUAUUUACUUGCCUUUACCGGAAGUUCGGGCAAAUCCCUAAGUACGAUCCGGAAGUCCACCACCUGUUUUUGACACCCAACUUAGUACACCAAUUUCACAUAAUCAGGCUCAUAAGCGACGCCGCACCUACGCACAAACUCAAACCCCGCCGCGGGUUACAUCUCUCCCUACACCCACCAAACUGCAGCGACGCUGCUUAAUAAUUUCAUAACUUUAAAAUUAUGACAGCAGUGGUAACAAACAAAAACUCCAGAGGCAUCUACAUAAAAUUCCCCACAAGUUUUGUAUACAAUUUAUAAUUAAAUUCCAAUAUCUAAUUAGCCCAAAACAGUCCACAAGAUGAACCCUGUAAUCUGUUUUUCUUUGUCUUUUGGACAGCGACAUACCCAGAUUCAAACAGCGAUAUCUUUUAAAAUAUAAUUCCAAAUCAAUCGCAUAAGUACUCAUUGGAAAGAUAAGACAAAUCCCUACAUGAUUAUCAUACUGGUUAACACUAAUUACCCACGAAAAAUUCCCAGAAACUGCUAAUACCACUGCUGUUCACCCACCUGAAAAAUCUGUUUUAUUGGACAGCAACAUAACCGGAUUCAAACAACGAUAUCUCCUGAAUUAUAACUCCGAAUCGAGCGCAUAAGUACUUGUUGGAAAGAUAACAUAAAGCCCUACAUGAUUCUAAUACUGAUUAACACUAAUUACUCCCGAAAAGUUCCCAGAAACUGCUAAUACUGCUGCUGUUCAUCCCCCUGAAAAUCUGUUUUUUUGGACAGCCACAUACCCGGAUUCAAACGGUGAUAACUUUCAAUUUAUAACUCCGAAUGGAGCGCAUAAAUACUCGUUGGAAAGGUAAGGUAAAGUUCUACAUGAUCCCCAAACUGAUUUCCCUUAAUUCCUCACGAAAAAACACAGAAACUGCUAGACUACUGCUGUUCACCCACCACCUAAAAUUCUGGACAACCACAUACCCGGAUUCAAACGGUGAUAACUUUCAAUUUAUAACUCCAAAUUGAGCGCAUAAAUACUCGUUGGAAAGGUAAGGUAAAGUUCUUCAUGAUCCCCAAACUGAUUUCCCUUAAUUCCUCACGAAAAAACACAGAAACUGCUAGACUACUGCUGUUCACCCACCACCUAAAAUUCUGGACAACCCCCUCUACCCAAUCGCAAACGCAACCUCUAAUCAAUUAAAUUGCAGCGCAAAUGAACAAGGAAUGAACACAAAAAUCACCUUGGAUUCUCCCCCUUUCCUUCCUCCCUUCUUCCCUCCACCAAAACGAUUGAAGACUCGCACCACGACGACGAUGAUCCGAGCGGCAAGGAUUGGCACCUUGGGAGGAGGGGAUUGGGGGGGGGGCGGCUAGGGUUUGGUGGCUGCAAAAAUUGAGAGAGGAAGAGAUGGGCAGGGGGCGGCAGCCAAGGGGAGGAGG